rnacentral:rRNA from 1 species
GACGAACGCUGGCGGCGUGCUUAACACAUGCAAGUCGAACGGAAAGGCCCGGCGCUUGCGCGGCGCUCGAGUGGCGAACGGGUGAGUAACACGUGAGUAACCUGCCCUUGACUUUGGGAGAACUUCAGGAAACUGCGGCUAAUACCGGAUAGGAGCUCUUGCUGCAUGGUGGGGGUUGGAAAGUGUCGGCGGUUGGGGAUGGACUCGCGGCUUACCAGCUUGAUGGUGAGGUAGUGGCUGACCAAGGGUUCGACGGGUAGCCGGCAUGAGAGGGGGACCGGCGACAUGGGGCCUGCGAGACGGACCAGACUGCAACGGGAGGCAGCAGUGGGGAAUAUUGCGCAAUGGGCGGGCGCCUGAUACAGCAGCGCCGCGUGCGGAAUGACGGCCUACGAGGUGUAAACCGAUUUCGCAUGUAACGAGGCGUGCGUGACGGUAAUGGGUAAGGAAGCAACGGCUAACUACGUG